rnacentral:rRNA from 1 species
AAUGAACGCUGGCGGCGUGCCUAACACAUGCAAGUCGAACGCGAAAGCCCUGCUUGCAGGGUGAGUAGAGUGGCGAACGGGUGAGUAACGCGUGGGUAACCUACCCUCCAGUUGGGGAUAAUCCCGCGAACGUGGGUCUAAUACCGGAUGACAUCGCCUCUCCUCGGAGGGGUGAUCAAAGAUGGCCUCUGGUACAAGCUAUCGCUGGGGGAGGGGCUCGCGUCCUAUUAGCUUGUUGGUGGGGUAACGGCCCACCAAGGCGACGAUGGGUAGCCGGCCUGAGAGGGUGUCCGGCCACACUGGAACUGAGACACGGUCCAGACUCCUACGGGAGGCAGCAGUGGGGAAUUUUUCGCAAUGGGCGAAAGCCUGACGAAGCGACGCCGCGUGGACGAUGAAGGCCUUCGGGUCGUAAAGUCCUGUCGGGUGGGAAGAAAAGUAUGAGUUCGAAUAAAGCUCAUGCUUGACGGUACCACCCAAGGAAGCCCCGGCCAACUCCGUGCCAGCAGCCGCGGUAAUACGGGGGGGGCAAGCGUUAUUCGGAAUCACUGGGCGUAAAGGGCGUCUAGGCGGUCGGGUAAGUCGUGGGUGAAAGCCCCCGGCUCAACCGGGGAAGUGCCUGCGAAACUAUCCGACUUGAGGUCGGGAGAGGAAAGUGGAAUUCCCAGUGUAGCGGUGAAAUGCGCAGAUAUUGGGAGGAACACCAGUGGCGAAGGCGGCUUUCUGGACCGACCCUGACGCUGAAGCGCGAAAGCUAGGGGAGCGAACGGGAUUAGAUACCCCGGUAGUCCUAGCUGUAAACGAUGGGCACUUGGUGUAGCAGGAUUUAAAACCUGCUGUGCCGAAGCUAACGCAUUAAGUGCCCCGCCUGGGGAGUACGGCCGCAAGGCUGAAACUCAAAGGAAUUGACGGGGGCCCGCACAAGCGGUGGAGCAUGUGGUUUAAUUCGAUGCAACGCGAAGAACCUUACCGGGGCUUGAAGUGUGGUUGACAGGAUAAGAAAUUAUCCCUU